GGGUACCUGGCAGCACAGGUAGGUGGUGAGCGGGGUCUGAAAUAGGGACCUUGGUACUCUCACUAGGCUGUGCUCCCUCAGCUCAGGGGGGCCAUCUAAUGAACACAGAUGUGCCAAGUGGCCUGAGGUUAUUUUAAAGUCAGUGGUGAUCACAGUGGUAAUCGCCGUUCCUAUUGUUAUUUUUAGUCCUAAGAUCUGACCCAGUAUGGAAAGAGGUUGAACUUGGGAGUCAAGGCCUUGGGUUCAGUUUAAGUUCUCCACUUAUAAGAGGUAAGGACUUUGUCUUUUGACCCCAGUUUAUCCCAAAUGCUUCCAAACACAUAUUUUCACUGACUUUGCAAAAAAGAAAAAUAAAAUGAAAACUCUGUAAGGAUGGUAAAGCUUGGGCCAUCACAUGGCAACCCACUCCAGUAUUCUUGCCUGGAGAAUCCCUAUGGACAGAGGAGCCUGGUGGGCUACAGUCCAUAGGCCGCUGUAAGCUGUCCAAAGAGUUGGACACGACCGAAGCGACUGAGCACAUAAGGACAAUAAAGCUUGGGCCACCAGUCCCAUUUCAUGGAGGCAAAUUUAGGUGAUUUGCCCAAAGCGAUCAAGUCAGUAGGGGGCUUCCCUGGUGGCCCAGAUGGUAAAAAAUAUCUGCCUGCAAUGCAGAAGACCCUGGUUCAGUCCCUGGCUUGGGAAGAUCUGCUGGAGAAGAGCAGAGCAACCCACUCCAGCAUUCUUGCCUGGAGAGAUCCAUGGACAGUGGAGCCUGGUGGUCUACAGUCCGUGAGAUCACAAAGAGUCGGACACAACCGAGUGGCUGACACUUUCACUUUCCGUGCUCGCCUUUCUGAGCUCCAGAGAUGCUUCUGCUCCCAGCUUUCCUCCCCAGAGGCCCCCAGACCAGAGACCCCCAGGACUCCAUGGGAGGUGACCAUUGCCUCUACUUCCCCUUCUAGAUGCUGCUCUUGCCUGUCUCAGAGCCUGUGGCCUCACCCUUGAGCCCUGGUGCAGAAGGCAUCCUUUCCAGGGCCCCAAGUAUUUUUGAUCAUUUGUGUUUAUGGGACCUGGAAUGGGGCAGAGCUCAGUGGGCCAUCUGUGUGUGUUUUUUUUUUUUUUUCCUUUUUCUUAGACAACCAGCUGGGAUUGCCCGAAAUUCUAGGUUGUGUGUUGUCUACUCCAAAUUGGCACUUGCCAAGAGCAUUGCCAAUGACUGAACAACAAGGGCAUUUGCCAUCUGCCUCUAUGCAGGAAAAAGACAGAAUUUAAGGAACUGUCUCCAACCUGGAUGGAAGGACCUUUUAAUCAUACUCUUCACUAGCUCAUGCACAGUGAAAUUAAAGGGAAAGUGACUCUUGGAUUAAUUCCCACUUCCAAAGGCCCCUACACCAGACUGGUCUAUAGAGAGGAGUGCUGACCUCAAUCUCACCUUAAAAUGAUGCUCAAACAGAGGAAAGUGCACUACACUGGGAUGAGAAGACGGCAUCGAG
rnacentral:lncRNA from 1 species